rnacentral:tRNA from 1 species
AAAGGGAGACCUAAUUCGGGUAUAAGACGAAAAAAUAGUAGUCGAAACCAAGAAUCAAUCCCAAAAGGUCGGAACGAGGUAUGUGGCUUUCAAACUAGGUUCUGGGUUCAUAAAAGACCUGAAUCAGGAACAAGGGCCAUUAGCUCAGGUGGUUAGAGCGCACCCCUGAUAAGGGUGAGGUCCCUGGUUCGAGUCCAGGAUGGCCCACCUGCACAGGUGGCAAAAACAAAGAAAAGAAGCGAGGAAUCAGCACCUUAUCUUACUUAUAUAGUAAGAGAGAAUGCUGGCUCUGAGUACAGAGUCCAGAGGAACCUUGAAAACUGCAUAGAGCUAGGUGAAAAAGCCAAAAAAGAAGACCGCAAG